rnacentral:rRNA from 1 species
CAGUAGCCGCGGUAAUACAUAGGUGACGAGCGUUGUCCGGAAUUAUUGGGCGUAAAGGGAGCGCAGGCGGUUGGAAUAGUCUGAUGUAAAAGCCCACGGCUUAACCGUGAAAGGUCAUUGGAAACUGUCCGACUUGAAUGCAGAAGAGGAAAGUGGAAUUCCAUGUGUAGCGGUGAAAUGCGUAGAUAUAUGGAGGAACACCAGUGGCGAAGGCGACUUUCUGGUCUGUAAUUGACGUUGAGGCUCGAAAGCGUGGGUAGCGAACAGGAUUAGAUACCCCGGUAGUCCCUGUCUCUUAUAA